GGGGCGUAGCUCAGUUGGGAGAGUGCUUGCUUCGCAUGCAAGAAGUCGAGGGUUCGAAUCCCUUCGUCUCC
rnacentral:tRNA from 1 species